GAGGUUGUAGCUCAGUGGUAGAGUGCACGCCUACCAUGCAUGAGGCACUGGGUUCGAUCCUCAGCACCACA
rfam:Ictidomys tridecemlineatus contig028782, whole genome shotgun sequence.